CCUACGGGGGGCUGCAGUGGGGAAUAUUGGACAAUGGGCGAAAGCCUGAUCCAGCAAUGCCGCGUGAGUGAUGAAGGCCUUAGGGUUGUAAAGCUCUUUUACCCGGGAUGAUAAUGACAGUACCGGGAGAAUAAGCUCCGGCUAACUCCGUGCCAGCAGCCGCGGUAAUACGGAGGGAGCUAGCGUUAUUCGGAAUUACUGGGCGUAAAGCGCACGUAGGCGGCUUUGUAAGUAAGAGGUGAAAGCCCAGAGCUCAACUCUGGAAUUGCCUUUUAGACUGCAUCGCUUGAAUCAUGGAGAGGUCAGUGGAAUUCCGAGUGUAGAGGUGAAAUUCGUAGAUAUUCGGAAGAACACCAGUGGCGAAGGCGGCUGACUGGACAUGUAUUGACGCUGAGGUGCGAAAGCGUGGGGAGCAAACAGGAUUAGAUACCCUAGUAGUC
rnacentral:rRNA from 1 species